rnacentral:rRNA from 1 species
AUUGAACGCUGGCGGCAGGCCUAACACAUGCAAGUCGAACGAGUGGCGGACGGGUGAGUAAUGUCUGGGAAACUGCCUGAUGGAGGGGGAUAACUACUGGAAACGGUAGCUAAUCCCGCAUACCAUCGGAUGUGCCCAGAUGGGAUUAGCUAGUAGGUGGGGUAACGGCUCACCUAGGCGACGAUCCCUAGCUGGUCUGAGAGGAUGACCAGCCACACUGGACCGGAGACACGGUCCAGACUCCUACGGGAGGCAGAAGUGGGGAAUAUUGCACAAUGGGCGCAGGCCUGAUGCAGCCAUGCCGCGUGUAUGAAGAAGGCCUUCGGGUUGUAAAGUACUUUCAGCGAGGAGGCGUUACUCGCAGAAGAAGCACCGGCUAACUCCGUGCCAGCAGCCGCGGUAAUUC